ACGCUGGCGGCGUGCCUAAUACAUGCAAGUAGAACGCUGAAGAGAGGAGCUUGCUCUUCUUGGAUGAGUUGCGAACGGGUGAGUAACGCGUAGGUAACCUGCCUUGUAGCGGGGGAUAACUAUUGGAAACGAUAGCUAAUACCGCAUAACAAUGGAUGACACAUGUCAUUUAUUUGAAAGGGGCAAUUGCUCCACUACAAGAUGGACCUGCGUUGUAUUAGCUAGUAGGUGAGGUAACGGCUCACCUAGGCGACGAUACAUAGCCGACCUGAGAGGGUGAUCGGCCACACUGGGACUGAGACACGGCCCAGACUCCUACGGGAGGCAGCAGUAGGGAAUCUUCGGCAAUGGGGGCAACCCUGACCGAGCAACGCCGCGUGAGUGAAGAAGGUUUUCGGAUCGUAAAGCUCUGUUGUAAGUCAAGAACGAGUGUGAGAGUGGAAAGUUCACACUGUGACGGUAGCUUACCAGAAAGGGACGGCUAACUACGUGCCAGCAGCCGCGGUAAUACGUAGGUCCCGAGCGUUGUCCGGAUUUAUUGGGCGUAAAGCGAGCGCAGGCGGUUUGAUAAGUCUGAAGUUAAAGGCUGUGGCUCAACCAUAGUUCGCUUUGGAAACUGUCAAACUUGAGUGCAGAAGGGGAGAGUGGAAUUCCAUGUGUAGCGGUGAAAUGCGUAGAUAUAUGGAGGAACACCGGUGGCGAAAGCGGCUCUCUGGUCUGUAACUGACGCUGAGGCUCGAAAGCGUGGGGAGCGAACAGGAUUAGAUACCCUGGUAGUCCACGCCGUAAACGAUGAGUGCUAGGUGUUGGAUCCUUUCCGGGAUUCAGUGCCGCAGCUAACGCAUUAAGCACUCCGCCUGGGGAGUACGACCGCAAGGUUGAAACUCAAAGGAAUUGACGGGGGCCCGCACAA
rnacentral:rRNA from 1 species